CACGGUUUAACAUUCAGCCCUUGCCCCCCGCUCGAUUUUCUCCUCCAUCUUCCCCCAACAAGCAUUUCUGAGCUCCAAGGUGUUUAGGAAGUGGAAAGAAGAUAAUGGAUUCAGCUCAGAAUGCAUCUUCAGCUGCUGGGACUGGUGGAAGCGGUGGGAAUGGAUCCGUCAUCAAUGAUACAUCAGCAUCAACUACAGUGGAUGAUUCAAAGCAAAACUUGAACCAAGUAAUCAACUCCAUACAGAAAACUUUGGGUAUCCUCCAUCAGCUCAACCUCACCGUUUCCAACUUCAAUGCCGCCUAUCAGCUGCCUCUUUUACAACGCCUUAAUUCUCUAGUUUUGGAGCUAGAUAACAUGGUUAAAUUAUCAGAGAAAUGCACCAUCCAGGUCCCUAUGGAGGUUCUUAAUUUGAUCGAUGACGGGAAGAAUCCAGAUGAAUUCACGAGGGAUGUUUUAAAUAGUUGCAUUGCAAAAAAUCAGAGUACAAAAGGCAAAACUGAUGCCUUCAAGGGUUUACGGAAGCAUCUUUUGGAGGAACUUGAACAGACAUUUCCUGAUGAAGUUGAAUCUUACAGAGAAAUUCGUGCCGCUUCUGCUGCCGAAGCAAAAAGGAUAGCGCAAUCACAAAGUAUGUUACCAAAUGGGGAUAUGAAGGUUAAGAUGGAGGUUUAAGUGCCUUCUGCGUUAAUUAUCAGGGAAUUCGUUCUUAUUUAUACUCAUUUUAAGUCAAAGAACAUUUUUCAAGAUCGAAUUUUCUCGCUCAAAAUAGGUGAGGUGGCUGUAUCUUGGUUUCUCUAGUCAAGACUGUGCGGCAGACAACAUGGGAUUUGAUGACGGCUAAUGAAUCAAGACUGCAAAAGCCACACAAGAAUAAACAUCUAACUGGAACUAUCGUAUUAUACUCAUAUUCAUUGGGCGAGUCAAGGCGGAGAAGAAUCACACUAUCCUCAAACAUCAAACUUUGGAUUUUACUGGCAGUAUCAACCCCAUUCAGUGUGUCUGAUUCAAGUUUUAUUUUACUUUUUACUUGGUAAAUGAAUGUUUCCGCAACUGGAUUCUCACUUUUCUGUUAAUAAGUAUUGUAAAUUCGUAUACUGAUUCCUUGCCUCAUCUCAG
rnacentral:misc_RNA from 1 species